AUAAUGAUACUUCCGCCCGGCCAACGUCACUGUAUUGGGGGCGGCCCGCUCGGAUGAGGGGGAACGCUAUUAAUUAGCGCUAUGU
rfam:[Clostridium] cellulosi genome assembly, chromosome: I